GCACUGAUGGUUCAGUGGUGGAAUUCUCACCUUCCAUGUUAGAGACCCGGGUUUGAUUUCCUGCCAAUGCU
rnacentral:tRNA from 1 species